UCGACUAGCAAAACACAUCUGUAGUGCUCUGCACACAUUAAUACAUCUGAGUUCAACUUUUUUAUGAACACAAUGGCUUAUGGAGGAAGAGAAAUUGAUUUGGUCUCGGACAUACUUAAAAAUACAUUUUCAAGAAAAGCUUGACAUCCUAAGGAGGUCGGCCAACCCUGAAGCUAGCUAGCUUGUCUCAGCCUGGGAAAGGGUUUGUUUACCACUGGCUUACGGCCUCUAAUAUCAAGCAGUAACCAUGGCAACAGCAUGGAAUUACCUAUCUGCUACUGCAUGGCAACAGUUUCUCCUCCUAAUAUCAUUCUUCCUCCGGCCUGCCUGCUGUCUUGCUGUGAUUCGGGAAGCUUUCUAAUCCAUUUUGUAUGAAGCUGGAGGAUUAUGGAGCAGACGAUGUUACAUCCACUGCUCUGCAAAAUAGACUGACACAUUCCUCUUCAUGCUUCCUUCCUUUUCUCUAGUACACCGAAAAAGAUAUGAUUUGCCAUUAAUCUGUUAAAAGAUGCACACCAGGUGUGUCAGUCCUGUGGGAAUAGAGAAUAAAUAUCUGUAAACCAGCACUACAACAAGCACUGUUGCUCCCGACUGGAAAAAAAAAGAUUACAGUUGGAAUAAUGAAUAGACUUGUAAUCAUAGUGAGGGAGGAUUCUUAGGAUCUGAGAUAACAUUGGUGAAUAAACAAUACAGCAAUAAUAAUUCAUAAUUAUAAUAUUAAUUGUCAUUAGUAAUCUGUAAAACACAACCAUACAUAAAAAACUAAAUCGGGAAAAGAAUUGUAAUAAAUGUAAUGCUCAUACUUGGUUUAACUCUAUACUGUGUUAACUAAACUACAAUCUGUGAGCUAAGUCUUGAGUUCCACCUCAUAACCUAUUGUUAUUCAUUCAUUUGCAUUCGGGAACAUACUACCUGCUGGUUGAAGUGCACUUGAUGUUCUAAUGGCAGUAAUCAUUUAAAUAAGAAACUAUUGCGUUUACACGCUUUAUUGUUCCCAAUUAGCUAGAAAUGAGGUAUCACAAAGGCAACACUCUGUACAGAUCACCCUGAAACCACAAGAGACUGUGUUAAAAGCAUAAGGUGAAUAUUAUCUUAUUACCAAGCUAUUAAAACACUGUAAACCAAAUUACAAAUCAGUUUAUAAUAUACAUCACAAGUGGGCGAUACUAACAGCAAAAAAAAAAUUCUAUAUUUCCCACAACACAUGCUAGUCAUUUUGGCUACCUCCAUAAACAAGACCCAGCUCAAACUGUUAUUGAACCAACACUGCGUCAUGUGUGUGACUGUACCACUCCAUUGAGUUACACAACCGCUAAAAGAAUCCGAUUCUGAAGAAAUUCCUGAAAUAUUGCUGAACGGAGAGUUUCUCAUAAAAUCGGAAGAAAAGUAGAUGAAGUGUGAUAUGUAUUUAUGUAUCAGCCACAAUGAUUAAUUAGAAUAUAGCAGAAGAUAAAUACUUUGUAAAAUGUGUUUAUUUUAUACAGUUUUCUGUCCUGGUGCAAGAUGCAAUGCAUGCAUAUUAACACACAUUCCCAGGGGCCCAGGGGCAAUUUUGUUUAGCCAGUCCACCUCCUGGCAUGUUUUUAGGAGGAAAUUAGAGACUCCGGAGGAAAUCCACAUUCUUUUAAUUGUUUGAAUAAAGCUUUUGGCCAAAGUGACUUACAACUGGAGAGUUAAGAGUCAUGCUCAAGGAUUCAGCAAUGGCAACUUGGUGGUGCUUGAAUUUGAACUUUCAAACUUCUGAUUAAUAGACCAAUGUAUUAAUUACUGAGCCCCCACUUCUCUAUUUCCAUGAACCGACAGUCAUUUCUGUACAGACAGGACUGAACUCAAGGUCCUUGACCAGAAAGGUACCAAUAUGCUGUACCAUUUUGUACUAUUGUGCAUCCCACAAAAUCAUAAAAAAAAAACAAGAUAGAUCACUUCAUCAUGCAUGCACAUUUGCUAGCUAUUGAAUUAAAGCUGCACAUCACACAGACAGUACACUAGAGUCUAAGUAUUGAGAACCACAUGCUGAAGCACCCUUAUAUUCAUCAGAUUGUUUAAGAAAGUUGCAAGGUGGGUCCUUCAUAGAUAGGACUUGUUUGUCCACCACUUCCCACAGAUGCUUGAUUGUAUUAAGAUUUGGAGAAUUGGUAGGCCAAUUCAAUACCUUGAUUUAUGUCUCAUGUUCCUCAAGCCAUUCCUUAACAAUAUUGCAGUUUGGCAGAACGCAUUAUUCUGCUGAAAGAUGCCACUGAUAUUAGGGAGUAUCACAGCCUUGAAGGGUGCUGUAAUACCUCCCGAAAGAAAGUCAACAUAAAUUCUGGGAGACGAGCAGAAAACUACACAGAGCAUCUUGCUGCCUCCGUGGGCUUUUCUUUUUUUCAUAGUGCAUCCUGGAGCCAUCUUUUCCCCAGGUAAAAUAAUUUAGUUGUUCUACCUAUUAUAUAUCUUGACAACUCUACUUUAAGAACAUAUACAAACAUACUGUGUAUUUUCCCAGAAAUUCCUGCAAAAGAUCAUCAUGGUGACAAAACACUAAGUCUACAAGUCAUCAAAGACAACUAAAACCUUUAUAGCGUAAUGCGAUUGCACACACACAGUGCAUGUCAUGCUUCAAGCAAGUUGUUGGAUAGCUUUUGAAAAUGAGUUUCCAUCACUACUCAAAUACGGAUGCCAGGUAUAGAUUCAAUGCAUAAGAUGCAAUGAAAACGUUAAAGAAAUACAAUCAAUUGGAUCAUAUCUGCUCUUCCAGCACACUUAGACAGUUAAUGCCUUAUUCAGUAGUAUCAUUUACUACUUAAAAAAAAACAAAAAAAAAGCACUUUUCCAGAUGCUCAUCUGUGUCGGAGUGUGUCCUAACAGGCUCGGGCAGCGUGUUGCAUAAGAUUUAAGGGCUGUGACAAACCCUAGAUGACAUGGUGGAAGUAAACACAAGAGCACCACAGCCUCAGGAGCCAGAUCCCUUCACGUGUCCUCAUCUGACCAUCACAAAGUCAUCAGAGUGGCUUUUAUUUCAAUAGAAAUCUUAUAAAGGGCAAAACACAAUGUUUAGUAAUGAUGUUUCCUAACUGGUAGCAAAUCAGUGGAGUACAGAACUCUACAGGCAAAGCAUGUAUUCAUUUAGUCGAGUGUUACUAUUAUUAGAUACAGUAGUUCAAAUAUUGAGCUUGCUGAGUCUUGACAAAAAUAUUAAAUGCUGUGCCACGUGUGUGCUCCGUCUUCUACGUGUUUUAUACUUAGGGUACCAUCUGUACGAUCAAGAACUAACUGGGUUUGUGUUGGGUACUCUUGUUUUUUUCCUAUUCAUGCAACAAUGUUACGACGUCUGACUGACAGCUGACAGAUAUUCCAUUAAAUACAACCGAGUAGAGAGAUUUGCAAGACAUUUGUGUGUUUAUUUAUUUAUUUA